rnacentral:rRNA from 1 species
UUGGGAAUAUUGCACAAUGGGCGAAAGCCUGAUGCAGCGACGCCGCGUGAGGGAUGACGGCCUUCGGGUUGUAAACCUCUUUCAGCAGGGACGAAGCGCAAGUGACGGUACCUGCAGAAGAAGCACCGGCUAACUACGUGCCAGCAGCCGCGGUAAUACGUAGGGUGCAAGGGUUGUCCGGAAUUACUGGGCGUAAAGAGUUCGUAGGCGGUUUGUCGCGUCGUUUGUGAAAACCAGCAGCACAACUGCUGGCUUGCAGGCGAUACGGGCAGACUGGAGUACUGCAGGGGAGACUGGAAUUGCUGGUGUAGCGGUGAAAUGCGCAGAUAUCAGGAGGAACACCGGUGGCGAAGGCGGGUCUCUGGGCAGUAACUGACGCUGAGGAACGAAAGCGUGGGUAGCGAACAGG